GCAGAGGUGGCCGAGUGGUUAAAGCGAUGGACUGCAAUCCAUUGUGCUUUACCGCCCAGCGUGGUUUCGAAUCCAUCCUCGUCG
rnacentral:tRNA from 1 species